GUCUCACCUACCCAGAGCAUACAUUACGAAAUGAAGUCACUGAAAAUGACACUCUGUGAUCUACUGAGAUCCCUGAAGUGCAGAUUAACUUAACAAAUAACAGGGAUCAGGAUACUAAUAACAUAUCAUCAUGAGGAAAUGAGGGGAAUUUGGCAUAAGCCAAAGUAAAAGGCUCCUCUCCUGGCUGAACUGUUAACAGCUCAAAGUAGGCUGCAGGAUGGUGGGAGGAAACUCAGAGGAGUGCUGCUGGUCUCCGAUUCCACACCUGGGGGCUGUCCUACCAGUCUCCCAUUUCAGGGUGUUGAGAUGUCAGGAAGGAAGACAGCAGGUGAGGAAAGCCGAAGACGUCUUCUGUGGAAGAACCCGCAUUUCCUCCUGCCAUACAUACGUGUCUCUGACAAACAUCCUGGAAGACCAAUGACACCUGAAAACACCUGUUUCAGAAUCUAUCACAGGAAUCGGCCCCCUCUUGCUUUGUGAACAUACUUGCAACUGUGACGGCAGAUGUCCCUGACUGCACACUCCAAGGAACAAAUGGCCAUUGUCAUCUCUGUACAGUCUGCAUGGUAUCUACAGAGGUCCUGGCCUACCAGUGAGGAGAAUCAUUAAGUUUAAAAACAGAUUUAAAACAACAGGACCUAUAGCAGGACCCAGAAAACAGCAGAUCUGAAUAAAUGUUCUCUGAAUCUUUUAUUUGGGGGCUGCUUUUUUUCUCCCUUCUAAUUCUUAGAUGUGUGGCUUACUUGAGGUUAACAGAAAAGUAAGCACUAUGUACCACUUGAUUUAAGAAAUGUGAAUAGAUGACAAAUUUUAGAAAAUUAUAGAGAAAUCGAUGCUUACUUUCUU